rnacentral:tRNA from 1 species
UGCGGGGUGGAGCAGUCUGGUAGCUCGUCGGGCUCAUAACCCGAAGGUCGUGGGUUCAAAUCCCGCCCCCGCUCCCA